CUACGGGACGCAGCAGUGGGGAAUAUUGCACAAUGGGGGAAACCCUGAUGCAGCGACGCCGCGUGAGUGAAGAAGUAUUUCGGUACGUAAAGCUCUAUCAGCAGGGAAGAUAAUGACGGUACCUGACUAAGAAGCCCCGGCUAACUACGUGCCAGCAGCCGCGGUAAUACGUAGGGGGCAAGCGUUAUCCGGAUUUACUGGGUGUAAAGGGUGCGUAGGUGGCAGGGCAAGUCAGAUGUGAAAGCCCGGGGCUCAACCCCGGUACUGCAUUUGAAACUGUCCAGCUGGAGUGCAGGAGAGGUAAG
rnacentral:rRNA from 1 species